rnacentral:rRNA from 1 species
GAUGAACGCUGGCGGCGUGCCUAAUACAUGCAAGUCGAGCGAACAGACGAGGAGCUUGCUCCUCUGACGUUAGCGGCGGACGGGUGAGUAACACGUGGAUAACCUACCUAUAAGACUGGGAUAACUUCGGGAAACCGCAGCUAAUACCGGAUAAUAUAUUGAACCGCAUGGUUCAAUAGUGAAAGACGGUUUUGCUGUCACUUAUAGAUGGAUCCGCGCCGCAUUAGCUAGUUGGUAAGGUAACGGCUUACCAAGGCAACGAUGCGUAGCCGACCUGAGAGGGUGAUCGGCCACACUGGAACUGAGACACGGACCAGACUCCUACGGGAGGCAGCAGUAGGGAAUCUUCCGCAAUGGGCGAAAGCCUGACGGAGCAACGCCGCGUGAGUGAUGAAGGUCUUCGGAUCGUAAAGCUCUGUUAUUAGGGAAGAACAAAUGUGUAAGUAACUAUGCGCGUCUUGACGGUACCUAAUCAGGAAGCCACGGCUAACUACGUG